rnacentral:rRNA from 1 species
CAAAUCCGGAAAAUCAAGGCUGAGGCGUGACGACGAGGCACUACGGUGCUGAAGCAACAAAUGCCCUGCUUCCAGGAAAAGCCUCUAAGCAUCAGGUAACACGAAAUCGUACCCCAAACCGACACAGGUGGUCAGGUAGAGAAUACCAAGGCGCUUGAGAGAACUCGGGUGAAGGAACUAGGCAAAAUGGUGCCGUAACUUCGGGAGAAGGCACGCUGACACGUAGGUGAAGUGAUUUACUCAUGGAGCUGAAGUCAGUCGAAGAUACCAGCUGGCUGCAACUGUUUAUUAAAAACACAGCACUGUGCAAACACGAAAGUGGACGUAUACGGUGUGACGCCUGCCCGGUGCCGGAAGGUUAAUUGAUGGGGUCAGCGCAAGCGAAGCUCCUGAUCGAAGCCCCGGUAAACGGCGGCCGUAACUAUAACGGUCCUAAGGUAGCGAAAUUCCUUGUCGGGUAAGUUCCGACCUGCACGAAUGGCGUAAUGAUGGCCAGGCUGUCUCCACCCGAGACUCAGUGAAAUUGAACUCGCUGUGAAGAUGCAGUGUACCCGCGGCAAGACGGAAAGACCCCGUGAACCUUUACUAUAGCUUGACACUGAACAUUGAGCCUUGAUGUGUAGGAUAGGUGGGAGGCUUUGAAGUGUGGACGCCAGUCUGCAUGGAGCCGGCCUUGAAAUACCACCCUUUAAUGUUUGAUGUUCUAACGUGGACCCGUAAUCCGGGUUGCGGACAGUGUCUGGUGGGUAGUUUGACUGGGGCGGUCUCCUCCUAAAGAGUAACGGAGGAGCACGAAGGUUGGCUAAUCCUGGUCGGACAUCAGGAGGUUAGUGCAAUGGCAUAAGCCAGCUUGACUGCGAGCGUGACGGCGCGAGCAGGUGCGAAAGCAGGUCAUAGUGAUCCGGUGGUUCUGAAUGGAAGGGCCAUCGCUCAACGGAUAAAAGGUACUCCGGGGAUAACAGGCUGAUACCGCCCAAGAGUUCAUAUCGACGGCGGUGUUUGGCACCUCGAUGUCGGCUCAUCACAUCCUGGGGCUGAAGUAGGUCCCAAGGGUAUGGCUGUUCGCCAUUUAAAGUGGUACGCGAGCUGGGUUUAGAACGUCGUGAGACAGUUCGGUCCCUAUCUGCCGUGGGCGCUGGAGAACUGAGGGGGGCUGCUCCUAGUACGAGAGGACCGGAGUGGACGCAUCACUGGUGUUCGGGUUGUCAUGCCAAUGGCACUGCCCGGUAGCUAAAUGCGGAAGAGAUAAGUGCUGAAAGCAUCUAAGCACGAAACUUGCCCCGAGAUGAGUUCUCCCUGAGACUUUAGGUCUCCUGAAGGAACGUUGAAGACGACGACGUUGAUAGGCCGGGUGUGUAAGCGCAGCGAUGCGUUGAGCUAACCGGUACUAAUGAACCGUGAGGCUUAACC